rnacentral:lncRNA from 1 species
UCCUCCUAUCCACCAUCAAUUACAAGUCUGCCCUAAGCCCAUUGGAUUCCACUUAAUGGUUUAUCAAUUAAGCCCAACAAUAAAGCCCAAACACCAAUAAAUUUGUAAUACCAUUAGAAUAAAAUCAUAUUCCAAUAAAAGCCCAAAUUAAAAUUAAGUAAAAUGGCGGGUCAUUACAUUAUACACACCUUAAAAGAAACACGUCCUUAUGAUUUUGCCACGUCAUGCAGGGUAUGUGAAUAAUUCUGGGUGAAGACUCUUCAUCUUGUCCUCCACCUCCCAAGUCACGUCAAUCGGGUCAUCGCUCCAUUGUACCUUCACUAACUUCACUUCCUUUCUCCGCAGCUGCUUAACAUCAUGAUCCACUAUGCCAACUGGGCGCACGACAUACGUAAGAUCAUCCUCAAUCUCAAGAGUACUAGGCUUCACAAUUUCCUUCUUAUCUCGAACACACGACCUCAAAAGCGAUACAUGGAACACAUUAUGAAUCUUGGACAACGCUGGUGGCAAUUGUACUCUGUAAGCUAAUCUGCCGAUCCUCUCAAUGACCGGAUAUGGACCAAUGAACCGCGGAACUAACUUUCUUUUCUUUCCAAACCUCAACACCUUACGCAUAGGAGAGAUCUUUAAAUACACGAGGUCACCAAUCUGAAGUCCUGCUUCAUUCCUUUUGUGAUCUGCAUACUUCUUCUGUCUACCCUGGGCUGUCUAAAUACGAACUCUAAUCAAUGCAAUCUUUUCUGAGCUCUCUCUUAUCAUGUCUGGACCAAGAUGUAACUUGUCACCCACCUCUGUCCAACAAGAAGGCGAUCUACAAGGCCUCCCAUACAAUGCCUCGUAUGGUGCCAUCCCAGUGCUAGACUGGUAACUGUUAUUAUAAGUGUAAAUGGUCCUCCCAACUGCCACCAAAGUCAAGGAUGCAACAACGUAACAGGUCCUCUAACACUUGGUUAACUCUCUCGGCCUGUCCAUCUGUCUGUGGGUGAUACGCAGUACUCAUAUCCAGCCUAGUGCCCAAGGCUCGCUGUAAGCUUUUCCAGAACUCUGCAGUAAAUAAUGGAUCUCUGUCUGACACUAUAGAAGAAGGAACCCCAUGCAAGCGUACAAUCUGCUUAACAUAUAACUCUGCUAGUGACUUCGGUGUCCUCUUCACACUCACAGGCAGGAAGCGAGCGGACUUAGUCAAGCGAUCCACAAUGACCCAAAUCGAUUCAUUACCAUUCUUAAACUUCUUCAAUCCAUCCACAAAAUCCAUGGAAAUGUUCUCCCACCUCCACUGAGGGAUCUCUAAAGGUUGUAACAACCCUGAAGGAUUCUUGUGGUCCGCCUUCACCUAUUGCAAGUAUGACACUUGGAAACAUAGUCCCCAAUGUCUCUCCUCAUGCCUUCCCACCAAAAAGUCUGCUUCAAGUCAUGGUACAUCUUCGUUCCACCAGGAUGAAUAGUGAAACGAGAUUUGUGAGCCUCAUCCAGAACCUCCUUCCUCAAAACCGGAUCGGCUGGAACACACAACCGGUCUCGAAAGCGCAAACCACCAUCAUUACCUACAGACCAUUCAGAAGAACCGUCGCCCGACAAAUCAUCUCUAUGUCGACAAAGCUGAGUAGCUGAAGACUGUCCCUCUAACACUUUGUUGAUCAAAGAAGGUGUCACCAUCACAGUACCAAUGUAGGCACCGGUAAACCCAGAGGCCAGCUGCACAUCAAAAGAAGCCAUCGUCUCAAGCUGUCUCCACUCUCUCAUCAUCCGACAUGCAAGGUUCGCAUGUUGCCUGCUCAAAGCAUCUGCCACUACAUUCCCUUUCCCAGGGUGGUAAGCAAUCUCAAAAUCAUACUGGCUAAUGAACUCCAUCCACCUCUGCUGGCGCAUGUACAACUCCUUCUGCGAGAACAAGUACUUCAAGCUCUUAUGAUCGGUGUAAAGCUCAAACUGCUCUCCAUACAAAUAGUGGCGCCAAAUCUUCAAUGCAAACACUAUGGCUGCUAACUCCAAAUCAUGAGUAGGAUACCUCCGCUCGUGUACCUUCAAUUGCCUCGAUGCAUAUGACACCACCUUUGAUUUUGCAUUAGCACACAACCCAAACCAGUACCACUUGCAUCAGUGAACACAACUAACUUCCCUCCAGGUACAGGGAUAGUCAGAAUCGGUGCAGUGGUCAAUCUCUGUUUCAACUCCUGAAAGGAUUUCUCACAGUCCUCACUCCAUAUGAACUUGACAUCCUUACGGGUCAACUUAGUCAAUGGUGCAGCUAAGAUGGAGAACUUCCCAAUGAAUCGUCUGUAAUAACCUGCCAACCCCAGAAAGCUCUUGAUCUCGGUAGCAUUCUUUGGUUGCUUCCACUUCUGCACGGCCGCCACUUUCUCUGGGUCCACAGCUAUACCCUCCCGAGAAAUCACAUGCCCAGGGAAUCGAACCUGCUCCUCCCAAAAAUAGCAUUUACUGAACUUAGCAUAUAACUUGUUGUCCCUCAAGGCUUGUAACACUAAUCUCAAAUGUUCUCUAUGUUCCUCCUUGGUCUUCAAGUACACCAAGAUAUCAUCAAUGAAAACAAUCGCGAACUUAUCAAGAUAUGGGCGGAAAAUUCUGUUCAUCAAGUCCAUAAAGAAUGCAGGCGCAUUCGUCAGCCCAAACGGCAUCACAGGGAACUCAUAAGAUCCGCAUCGGGUACGAAAAGCUGUCAAUGGAAUGGACUUCUCCUCAACUCCCAUCUGGUGAUACCCUGUCCUCAAAUCAAACUGAGAAAAGACAGAAGCCCCCUUCAACUGAUCCAACAGGUCAUCAAUCCUGGGCAACGGGUACUUGUUCUUGAUCGUGACCUUAUUCAAUUCCCUAUAAUCAAUGCACAUUCGCAAAGUGCCAUCCUUCUUUGCCACAAAGAUCGCAGAUGCUCCCCAAGGCGAAUUGCUUGGACGUAUGAACCUAGUUCAUACACACCUUAAAAAGAUUAAACUUAUACCCAAAAGAUACAUCAAGUAACAAAUUCCAAAAUCAUCAAAUUAAAUACAUACCCCUUCUGGAGCAUCUCGUCCAGUUGCUUCUUCAUCUCAGCCAACUCCUUGGGAGCAAUACGAUACACUACUUUAGCAAUAGGUGCCGUUCCUGGCACUAAAUCAAUCCUGAAUUCGACUUCUCGUCAGGGUGGCAAACCAGGAAUCUCAUCAAACACAUCAGGAAAGUCUCAAACCACAUCUACCUCGCGGAUAUCUCGAUCCGAUAUCUCCACCGAAUAAAGAAAACUAGUCAUAACUGCAUCCUCAGGCGUCUCACAAACAUGCUCAUAACUAGGGAUGCCAGGUGUGUUUAUUCUAACAGUUCGUGUCGCACAAUCUAGCACCACACCAUUCUCACUCAACCAGUUCAUACCCAAUAUCAAAUGAAAUCCCUCAAAGUCAAAGACCACCAAAUCAAGCACUAUCAAACGGCCCAUAAGAAUAAGUUUAAAACCCUUGCAUUCGUCAUACAAGGUAUAUGUAGUGCGUCUCCCAGGGGUACCAACAAGUAAGGGUCUACGCAAGGGCGUAAUAGGAAUAUGAUGCAUCAUAACAAACUGUCUAGAAAUAAAGCAAUGCGAUGCACCAGUGUCAAAUAAAACUCGUAAAGCAUGUUGCGGAAAAUCAAAUGUACCUCGCACAUCAUCAGCUCCAGGAAAGGCUGCAAACUCACGACCUGCGGGUGCAUGCUGAUGAUCAAGUCCCCCUGGUCUCUGUCGUCUCUGCUGUCUCUGAGGACACUCUCUAGCAUAAUGCCCUGGAUGGCGACACUCCCAACAAAGUGCUGCCAUAACUCCCUGAUCAUGUUGCGGCGCAUGUGGACGAGCUCGGUCUCGCUGUCCCUGAUGACCUUGAUGGUCAUUCCGCCUGUCAUUACCCCGUGGUCAGUAGUUUCCACGACGGUCAUGGUCCCUUGGACGGUCAUAACUUCUCGAACGAUCAUUGUCCCACACACGGUCAUUGCCUCUGUUACGAUCAUGGCUCCAUUGUACCUUCACUAACUUCACUUCCUUUCUCCACAGCUGCUUAACAUUAUGAUCCACUAUGCCAACUGGGCGCACGACAUACGUAAGAUCAUCCUCAAUCUCAAGAGUACUAGGCUUCACAAUUUCCUUCUUAUCUCGAACACACAACCUCAAAAGCGAUACAUGGAACACAUUAUGAAUCCUGGACAACGCUGGUGGCAACUGUACUCUGUAAGCUAAUCUGCCGAUCCUCUCAAUGACCGGAUAUGGACCAAUGAACCGCGGAACUAACUUUCCUUUCUUUCCAAACCUCAACACCUUACGCAUAGGAGAGAUCUUCAAAUACACGAGGUCACCAAUCUGAAGUCCUGCUUCAUUCCUUUUGUGAUCUGCAUACUUCUUCUGUCUACCCUGGGCUGUCUGAAUACAAACUCUAAUCAAUGCAAUCUUUUCUGAGCUCUCUCUUAUCAUGUCUGGACCAAGAUGUAACUUGUCACCCACCUCUGAUACCAAUCUGUCACACCCCAAUUUUUGAUAAAUGAAUAUUCACUAAAUAAAUAGCAAAUAUUCAUAAAUCAAAUGUCAGAAUGUGAUUGGGUCAGCCCCACAUGGGACCCAGGCAGGCAAAAACAUUCAAAACAUUAGACUACAGAGGAUCAAUAACAAACUUCAAUCAUAUUAAUUAACUUCAAGACAUAAAUAGCUCUAAAUAAAUAAUCCGAAUGAUAACUCCAAAUAUUAUGGAUUACAUAGUCUUCAAAGCCGAAAUAAAUACCGAGUUCAAAGAUUAAGAAAAUAACUGAAUCCAAAUAGUGAAAACUGCAACACCUCUCGAGUGCAACGCCUCUCGAGUGCAACGCCUCUCGAGUGCAACUCCAACUCAAGCCUCACGCUCUCCCACAAUCUGUUCCACCUCUACGCCCGACCGAGACGUACCCCAAGUUGCAAAAGAAACAACGAGGGCCAGCAAAUUGAGUUGGUGUUAGUCCCACAUUGCCAAGGAAGUGGUUGUAUUGAUAGUAUAUGGAGCUUAACCAUACUCUAACUAAUGUCAAGGCCUUUUGGGGUAAACCAGAUGGGUGGGCCCUGAUCCAAAACCCUCUACUGCUGGUUAUCCGCAGUGACUAAAGGGGGACAAUAUUGACAUUAGCGAGCGGUAUGGUGCUCGACACACCGGGAUGAGCGAGGACGAAAUCCCGGGGGGUUACAAAGAUCUCAAACCUGC